AAUGAACGUUGGCGGCGUGGAUUAGGCAUGCAAGUCGAGCGUGUACCCGCAAGGGGAAAGCGGCAAACGGGGUAGGAACGCGUAGGUCACGUACCCCUCGGCCGGGGAUAGCCACGGGAAACUGUGGGUAAUACCCGAUGACGCCGAGAGGCCAAAGGUGUGAUUCCGCCGGGGGAGCGGCCUGCGUAGUAUUAGCUAGUUGGUGAGGUAACGGCUCACCAAGGCGAAGAUGCUUAGGGGGUGUGAGAGCAUGACCCCCACCACUGGGACUGAGAUACUACCCAGACACCUACGGGUGGCUGCAGUCGAGAAUCUUCGGCAAUGGGGGCAACCCUGACCGAGCGACGCCGCGUGUGGGAUGAAGGCCCUUGGGUUGUAAACCACUGUCAGAGGGGAUGAAACGGCUAUGGGUUCUCCCAUGGCCCUGACAUAGCCUCAGAGGAAGCACGGGCUAAGUUCGUGCCAGCAGCCGCGGUAAUACGAACUGUGCAAACGUUAUUCGGAAUCACUGGGCUUAAAGGGUG
rnacentral:rRNA from 1 species